GCUCGUAGACGUACUUGCGGUAGCGGCCCUCCGCGCCCUCGUCGGCCGCCUUGCGCUUCAGCGACACGCCGCCCUCGGCGCCGGGAGCGGCCGCCUGGAAGCUGUAGGAGUGACCCUGGGCCUGCCUGUGGCCCAGCCCACAAGCUCCUGCCAUUCAGCCUCCUGCACCUGGAGUGGUCUUUCAGGUUCAUAGGCCACACUCCAAUGCUGUGCAUCAGCUGAGCUGGAAGUAAGGAAAGGCCCUGGGGACUUAGGACCCCUGAAGACGCCGGGGCCCUCUUCCACGCAGGAGGGUGGAACACCAUUGGACUCCACCCAGAGAGUGCGGCCUUCAAAGUCACAGGUGACUGAUAGCAAUGGCAAGAAUUACUGGAUGGAAGGGUAAGUAAAGAAUCCCUUAAACUCCUCCCCCUUGGUUUUAGGAAGUCUUCCAGGAUGGAUGAGAGACUGGGCCUUCACAAAUGGCCAAACCAGUGCACCAGUCUCAGUCCCUAUGGGCCGUUGCCCAGGACACUGGUGCAUUAGGCCUGACACAGGCUGCGAUAGUGAGUGUGAUUUAUAAUAAGAAACGUAUAUUUGGUCUGUGUCCACUGUUCUGGCUCACAGUUCCAAAACCCCUUGCGAUGUCCUAAGUGUAAGAGCGAUGGUAGCACCUUUCCUUAUGGAAUGGUCUUGUCCUCAGUCGC